rnacentral:rRNA from 1 species
AGGACGAACGCUGGCGGCGUGCCUAACACAUGCAAGUCGAGCGAGGAGAUCCUUCGGGAUGAUCCUAGCGGCGGACGGGUGAGUAACACGUGGGCAACCUGCCUCAUAGAGAGGAAUAGCCUUCCGAAAGGGAGAUUAAUACCUCAUAACAUUGCAGUUUCGCAUGAAACAGCAAUUAAAGGAGCAAUCCGCUAUGAGGUGGGCCCCGCGGCGCAUUAGCUAGUUGGUGAGGUAACGGCUCACCAAGGCGACGAUGCGUAGCCGACCUGAGAGGGUGAUCGGCCACAUUGGGACUGAGACACGGCCCAGACUCCUACGGGAGGCAGCAGUGGGGAAUAUUGCACAAUGGGGGAAACCCUGAUGCAAGCAACGCCGCGUGAGUGAUGACGGCCUUCGGGUUGUAAAGCUCUGUCUUCAGGGACGAUAAUGACGGUACCUGAGGAGGAAGCCACGGCUAACUACGUGCCAGCAGCGGC